ACUCCCGCCCCAUCCCUGAUGCUCUGUGUGGGUGACGUCAGUCAUUCUAUUCCCUUAAAUGGGAAUUUUGUCCGGCAAAAUGGAAUGUUCAGCGCUGCUUGAAUUGGCGAGCGUUCUAAACCGUUGAGUGUGUGUUCAACCCUUCCCCCCCUCCCAGACCCAAUACACCGCGAGCAGAUUCAAUGGUCCAGAAAGAUCAUCCAGGGUGGUGGCCGCUGUAAUCGUUUCGGUAUAAUGCACAUCGUUUUUUCCUCAAACAAGGUGACUCCACGAAGUUGUUCGAGGAUCAGGUCUUAAUAGUAGAAUUGGAGCUUUUAAACGACUGAAUGGCGUGACCGGAACAGUUGUACAAAUUGUCCACGAUUUGCAGAUGUUUUUCGCGCAAAAUGUUUUUCAGCACAGUGUGCUCUUUCAAUGCUGGAAUUUGAAUCGAAAACCAGUGCUGGAAUUUGAAUUGAAAAACAGCAGCCUAUCCCUGACUAACAGCAGUGCAAACAGGAUAGCGAUAUAUGUAAGUCCUUACAUUUGGCAAGUCCUCUGCUGUGCCUCUUGGUGACACAGGGAAACUGAUUCUCUUGCUUGGCUAAAGUUUGUUGGGAUUGCAGAUGACAUUUGGGCCCAAUAUGAUCUGGACAAGCCCCGGCACCAGACCGGUAUCUGUAUAGCUCCACUGCCUUGCGCAUACCUCAAUAAAGUUGAAGGUGAAGAAAGUAAAUACUCGAAGAAAUCUGGAAUAUCAGCCAUGUUAGUUUUUCCAGCUGCUCCUUCAACAAAAUUGGUGCAAAGUGUCAUGUGCUGUAUUUCUUUGGGGCCAAUCAGAAGUUGAGGGGAUGAGUCUGACAUUGGGGCAAUCGAGGUUCUUCAUAAAUGUGCACCAAAGAGACAAUGCUCUAGUUUCAUUGCAGAGGACUGACACAACAGGGGAUGCAAUUGUUAGGACUGAUAAACCCAAUUUGAUUGGCAUAGUGAAUGUGUGCUGCAGGCUGUAUCAAAGACAUGAAAGGAUCUUAGAUUAGAUUAGAUUACUUAGUGUGGAAAUAGGCCCUUCGGCCCAACAAGUCCACACCGACCCGCCGAAGCGCAACCCACCCAUACCUCUACAUUUACCCCUUACCUAACACUACGUGCAAUUUAGCAUGGCCAAUUCACCUGACCUGCACAUCUUUGGACUGUGGGAGGAAACCGGAGCACCCGGAGGAAACCCACGCAGACACGGGGAGAAUGUGCAAACUCCACACAGUCAGUCGCCUGAGGCGGGAAUUGAACCCAGGUCUCAGGCGCUGUGAGGCAGCAGUGCUAACCACUGUGCCACCGUGCCGCCCAUGUUAUGAUUUUCUUGAAAUUUCGCUGUUGCUAUGUAUUAGUGUGCCAUUAACCACUUGCACAUUUUUUAUCCGUGGAAAUUCUAUUUAAUCUAAUCCUUGAAGACUACU